rnacentral:rRNA from 1 species
GAGUGGGCGGCGUGCUUACACAUGCAGUCGACGAUGAUGCCCAGCUUGCUGGGCGGAUUAGUGGCGAACGGGUGAGUAAUACGUGAGUAACCUGCCCUUGACUCUGGGAUAAGCCUGGGAAACUGGGUCUAAUACUGGAUACUACCUCUUGCCGCAUGGUGGGUGGUGGAAAGGGUUUUACUGGUUUUGGAUGGGCUCACGGCCUAUCAGCUUGUUGGUGGGGUAAUGGCUCACCAAGGCGACGACGGGUAGCCGGCCUGAGAGGGUGACCGGCCACACUGGGACUGAGACACGGCCCAGACUCCUACGGGAGGCAGCAGUGGGGAAUAUUGCACAAUGGGCGGAAGCCUGAUGCAGCGACGCCGCGUGAGGGAUGACGGCCUUCGGGUUGUAAACCUCUUUCAGUAGGGAAGAAGCGAGAGUGACGGUACCUGCAGAAGAAGCGCCGGCUAACUACGUGCCAGCAGCCGCGGUAAUACGUAGGGCGCAAGCGUUGUCCGGAAUUAUUGGGCGUAAAGAGCUCGUAGGCGGUUUGUCGCGUCUGCUGUGAAAGCCCGGGGCUCAACCCCGGGUCUGCAGUGGGUACGGGCAGACUAGAGUGCAGUAGGGGAGACUGGGAAUUCCUGGGUGUAGCGGUGAAAUGCGCAGAUAUCAGAGGAACACCGAUGGCGAAAGCAGGUCUCUGGGCUGUUACUGACGCUGAGGAGCGAAAGCAUGGGGAGCGAACAGGAUUAGAUACCCUGGUAGUCCAUGCCGUAACGUUUGGCACUAGUGUGGGGGGGACAUUCCCACGUUUUUCCGCCGCCGUAGCUACGCAUUUAGUGCCCCGCCUGGGGAGUUACGCCGGCAGGCUAAACUCAAGACUUGACGGGGACCCGCACAGUCGCCGGACCAUGCAGAUUAAGUCGAUGCCACGCGUUAGAUGCUUACCAAGCAUGACAGUCACUGACGUCCAG